UACGUAGGGGGCAAGCGUUGUCCGGAAUCAUUGGGCGUAAAGAGCGUGUAGGCGGCCAGAAAAGUCCGCUGUGAAAACUCGAGGCUCAACUUCGAGCUGUCGGUGGAAACUUUCUGGCUAGAGUCCGGAAGAGGAGAAUGGAAUUCCUGGUGUAGCGGUGAAAUGCGCAGAUAUCAGGAAGAACACCGGUGGCGAAGGCGGAUCUCUGGGCCUUACCUGACGCUCAGGUGCGAAAGCUAGGGGAGCGAACAGG
rnacentral:rRNA from 1 species